rnacentral:rRNA from 1 species
CCGACACGACCGUACCGCAAACCGACACUGGUGCGCGAGAUGAGUAUUCUAAGGCGCUUGAGAGAACUCAGGAGAAGGAACUCGGCAAAUUGACACCGUAACUUCGGAAGAAGGUGUGCCUUUAGUAGGUGAAGUCCCUCGCGGAUGGAGCCCAAUGAGGUUGCAAAAAAUCGGUGGCUGCGACUGUUUAUUAAAAACACAGCACUCUGCAAACACGAAAGUGGACGUAUAGGGUGUGACGCCUGCCCGGUGCUGGAAGAUUAAAUGAUGGGGUGCAAGCUCUUGAUUGAAGUCCCAGUAAACGGCGGCCGUAACAAUAACGGUCCUAAGGUAGCGAAAUUCCUUGUCGGGUAAGUUCCGACCUGCACGAAUGGCGUAACGGUGGCCACACUGUCUCCUCCUGAGACUCAGCGAAGUUGAAAUGUUUGUGAUGAUGCAAUCUCCCCGCGGAAAGACGGAAAGACCCCAUGAACCUUUACUGUAGCUUUGUAUUGGACUUUGAACAGAUCUGUGUAGGAUAGGUGGGAGGCUUUGAAGCAGGGUCGCUAGAUCUUGUGGAGCCAACGUUGAAAUACCACCCUGGUGUGUUUGAGGUUCUAACCUAGGCCCGUAAUCCGGGUUGGGGACAGUGCAUGGUAGGCAGUUUGACUGGGGCGGUCUCCUCCCAAAGUGUAACGGAGGAGUUCGAAGGUACGCUAGUUACGGUCGGACAUCGUGACGAUAGUGCAAUGGCAUAAGCGUGCUUAACUGCGAGACUGACAAGUCGAGCAGAUGCGAAAGCAGGACAUAGUGAUCCGGUGGUUCUGUAUGGAAGGGCCAUCGCUCAACGGAUAAAAGGUACUCUGGGGAUAACAGGCUGAUACCGCCCAAGAGUUCAUAUCGACGGCGGUGUUUGGCACCUCGAUGUCGGCUCAUCUCAUCCUGGGGCUGUAGCCAGUCCCAAGGGUAUGGCUGUUCGCCAUUUAAAGAGGUACGUGAGCUGGGUUUAAAACGUCGUGAGACAGUUUGGUCCCUAUCUUCCGUGGGCGCUGCAGAUUUGAGGAAGCCUGCUCCUAGUACGAGAGGACCGGAGUGGACGCACCUCUGGUGUAUCGGUUGUCACGCCAGUGGCAUUGCCGAGUAGCUAUGUGCGGAAGAGAUAACCGCUGAAAGCAUCUAAGCGGGAAACUCGUUUCAAGAUGAGAUCUGCCGGGGCCUUGAGCCCCCUGAAGAGUCGUUCAAGACCAGGACGUUGAUAGGUCGGGUGUGGAAGCGCAGUAAUGCGUUAAGCUAACCGAUACUAAUUGCUCGUGCGGCUUGACC